rnacentral:rRNA from 1 species
AUACGGAGGGUGCGAGCGUUAAUCGGAAUUACUGGGCGUAAAGCGUACGUAGGCGGUUUGCUAAGUCAGAUGUGAAAGCCCCGGGCUUAACCUGGGAACUGCAUUUGAUACUGGCAGACUAGAGUAUGAUAGAGGGGGGUAGAAUUCCUGGUGUAGCGGUGAAAUGCGUAGAUAUCAGGAGGAAUACCAGUGGCGAAGGCGGCCCCCUGGAUCAAUACUGACGCUGAGGGACGAAAGCGUGGGGAGCAAACAGGAUUAGAUACCCUAGUAGUCC